rnacentral:rRNA from 1 species
UACAGAGGGGGCAAGCGUUGUUCGGAAUUACUGGGCGUAAAGGGCGCGUAGGCGGCCUUCUAAGUCGAACGUGAAAUCCCCGGGCUCAACCCGGGAACUGCGUCCGAUACUGGAAGGCUUGAAUCCGGGAGAGGAAGGUGGAAUUCCCGGUGUAGCGGUGAAAUGCGUAGAGAUCGGGAGGAACACCAGAGGCGAAGGCGGCGACCUGGACAGUUACUGACACUCAACUACGAAAGCGUGGGGAGCAAACAGG